AUGGUCCCGCGGCGUAUUAGCUAGAUGGUGAGGUAACGGCUUACCAUGGCAAUGAUACGUAGCCGACCUGAGAGGGUAAUCGGCCACAUUGGGACUGAGACACGGCCCAAACUCCUACGGGAGGCAGCAGUAGGGAAUCUUCCACAAUGGACGAAAGUCUGAUGGAGCAACGCCGCGUGAGUGAAGAAGGGUUUCGGCUCGUAAAACUCUGUUGUUAAAGAAGAACAUAUCUGAGAGUAACUGUUCAGGUAUUGACGGUAUUUAACCAGAAAGCCACGGCUAACUACGUGCCAGCAGCCGCGGUAAUACGUAGGUGGCAAGCGUUGUCCGGAUUUAUUGGGCGUAAAGCGAGCGCAGGCGGUUUUUAAAGUCUGAUGUGAAAGCCUUCGGCUCAACCGAAGAAGUGCAUCGGAAACUGGGAAACUUGAGUGCAGAAGAGGACAGUGGAACUCCAUGUGUAGCGGUGAAAUGCGUAGAUAUAUGGAAGAACACCAGUGGCGAAGGCGGCUGUCUGGUCUGUAACUGACGCUGA
rnacentral:rRNA from 2 species